rnacentral:rRNA from 1 species
AGUGAACGCUGGCGGUAGGCCUAACACAUGCAAGUCGAACGGCAGCACAGUAAGAGCUUGCUCUUACGGGUGGCGAGUGGCGGACGGGUGAGGAAUACAUCGGAAUCUACUUUUUCGUGGGGGAUAACGUAGGGAAACUUACGCUAAUACCGCAUACGACCUACGGGUGAAAGCAGGGGAUCUUCGGACCUUGCGCGAUUGAAUGAGCCGAUUUCGGAUUAGCUAGUUGGCGGGGUAAAGGCCCACCAAGGCGACGAUCCGUAGCUGGUCUGAGAGGAUGAUCAGACACACGGGAACUGAAAAACGGUACAGACACCUAGGGGAGGCAGGAGGGGGGAAUAUUGGAAAAGGGGCGCAAGCCUGAUCCAGCCAUACCGGGUGGGUGAAGAAGGCCUUCGGGUUGUAAAGCCCUUUUUGGGGGAAAAAAAAGCAGCAGGUUAAAACCCCGCUGUUCUGAGGGUACCAAAAAAAAAAGCACCGGCUAACUUCGU